rnacentral:tRNA from 1 species
ACGGGCAGCGAAACGAGCCUGCUCCUGGCCACGCCGCGCACGAACCGCAGGUCGUAGGUUCGAGCCCUGCUGCCCGUGCCA